rnacentral:lncRNA from 1 species
GGGACCCCUCUGAGGAGGUGACAUCUGAGCAGAGACCUGACUGGAGUGAUGCAGGUGUCUGAGGGAAGGAAAUUCCUGGCAGCGGGAACAGCCAGUGCAAAGGCCCCGAGGAAGGAGUUGCUUGAUUUGUUCAAACAAUAGCCAGGAGGCCAGGUGGCUGCAGUGAGUGAAGGAGAGGAGAUGAUGAAGGGAAUGACGGGCGGGCAGGCCUGCAGACCAUUGUAAGGACCCUGGAGUCCGAUCCGAAGGGGAGAUGCUCCAGGAAAUGUGGCUUUACCUCUGGGCGCCUCAGUAUCCUCUUCUGAGAAACAUGCAACAUGACACCUGCGUCUGAAGGUCUCUGUGAGGACUCAGGGAGCUCCUGCCUCCACAGGCAGGAGGCAGCCGCACAGGAGGCAGGGGCAGUAUUAUCAUCUCCAUUUUACGAGGAGGAAAAGCAAGCAAUGUACCCAAGUUCCCACAGCUAAAAAGAAUUCUGUCUGUCCUCAGAGCUGUGCCCUGAAACCCUCUGCCCUGCUGAAGAAUGGAGAGGACUCCCCCACCAGCACCUCCACCUAGGACACAUGGGAACUGUGGGACUUGGAGCAAAGUUUUCAAGUCUCUGUGCCUUAGUUUCCUCACCUGUGCUGUUCUAGGCGCUGAGGAUGCAGCCGUGCACAAGACGGAUGAAAUCCCUGCCCUCAGGGGGCCGACAUUUGCGGAGUAAAUAAAGGAAAGGCCAACAUGAACAGCUGAUUUGGAUACCAUCAAGACACCUGAAAUUUUAGCAUGAGCCAGAUGCCAAGGAAGAGACUCCGGGAGGAUCCUGAGGACCCCCCGGUUGCAGCCAUGUCGAGGCUGAUGCUGAGGAGGACCCCAACUGUCACGAGAAACACCCGUCGAACACAGCCACCCAGCUGGAGACAGAUCAAGAAGCUGUCACAGAUGAUGGAAGAAAACCUGAGGAAAGCGGGACAACCACUCAGAAUGAGUAAUGGUAGCUAUGAUAGUGGUAAUCACCAUUGCCGUGAGUAUUCCUUAAAGAAGGGCUGACACAGAGAACAAUUAUACUUAUUAGGCAUAUUCAUCAAUCUUGGCUGGCAAUAAUGCCUGGAUGUAAUCACUCUAUGACACAGUUACAUGUGCUUUCUGAUCUCAGUAUUUACCAUAACAAAUCUCCUCCUAUAAUUGAGGCAUACUGCCCUCAAAAACCUAUCUGUAACAAAAUUGAACCUGGCCAGAAAAAAUGAACAUACUUGUUUAGGAAGAUUGCAUUGCAGAACAGGCAGAGGUGCUGCACAACGAUUCCUAUGGAAUCAUUAUUAAUUGGUCCCCUAAAGGGAUGUUUAGCUUAAAUUGCACCAACAGGCCCCCCCGCAAAACCUGGCCAUAAACUGGCCCCGAAACUGACCAUGAACAAUAUCUCUGUGGCACUGUGACAUGUUCAUGAUGGCCAUGACGCCCACGCUGGAAGGUUGUGGGUUUACUGGAAUGAGGGCAAGGAACACCUUGCCCACCCAGGGCGGAAAACCACUUAAAGGCGUUUUUAAACCACAAACAACCGCAUGAGUGAUCUGUGCCUUAAGGACAUGCUCCUGCUGCAGAUAAGUAGCCAUACCCAUGCCUUUAUUUCAGCCCAUCCCUUUGCUUCCCAUAAGGGAUACUUUUAGUUAAUCUAAAAUCUAUAGAAACAAUGCUAAUGUUAAUAAAUACGUGGGUAAAUCUCUGUUUGAGGCUCUCAGCUCUGAAGGCUGUGAGACCCCUGAUUUCCCACUUCACACUUCUAUAUUUCUGUGUCUUUAAUUCCUCUAGCACCGCUGGGUUAGAGUUUCCCUGACUGAGCUGGUCUUGGCAUGAUUCUCCUGCCUCAGCCUCCCAAAUAGCUGGGAUUACAGGCAUGCACCACCAUGCCUUGUUAAUUUUUGUGUUUUUAGUAGAGAUGGGGUUUUACCAUGUUAGCCAGGCUGGUCUCGAACUCCUAGCUUCAAGAGAUCUUCCUGCCUCGGCCUCCCAAAGUGCUGGGAUUACAGGCAUGAGCCACUGUGCCCAGCCUGUUUUUAAUUUUUAUUUUCAAUUAAAAAAAUGUUUAUUGAGACAGAGUCUCACUCUGUCACCCAGGCUGGAGUGCAGUAGAGCAAUAAUGGCUCACUGCCACCUCGAACUCCCAGACUCAAACGAUCCUCCCA